UCUUGCGCAAUGCGCGAAAGCGUGACGCAGCAACGCCGCGUGGGGGAAGAAGGCCUUCGGGUUGUAAACCCCUUUCAGUUGGGACGAGGCUCCGUCCGUUAAUAGCGGGCUGGAGUGACGGUACCUUCAGAAGAAGCCCCGGCUAACUACGUGCCAGCAGCCGCGGUAAUACGUAGGGGGCGAGCGUUGUCCGGAAUCAUUGGGCGUAAAGCGCGUGUAGGCAGUUUGGUCAGUCUGCUGUGAAAGUCCAGGGCUCAACCCUGGAAUGCCGGUGGAUACUGCCGAACUAGAGUCCGGAAGAGGCGAGUGGAAUUCCUGGUGUAGCGGUGAAAUGCGCAGAUAUCAGGAGGAACACCAAUGGCGAAGGCAGCUCGCUGGGACGGUACUGACGCUGAGACGCGAAA
rnacentral:rRNA from 1 species